rnacentral:rRNA from 1 species
ACAGCAGUAGCCGCGGGAAUACAGAGGGUGCGAGCGUUAAUCGGAUUUACUGGGCGUAAAGCGUGCGUAGGCGGCUUUUUAAGUCGGAUGUGAAAUCCCUGAGCUUAACUUAGGAAUUGCAUUCGAUACUGGGAAGCUAGAGUAUGGGAGAGGAUGGUAGAAUUCCAGGUGUAGCGGUGAAAUGCGUAGAGAUCUGGAGGAAUACCGAUGGCGAAGGCAGCCAUCUGGCCUAAUACUGACGCUGAGGUACGAAAGCAUGGGGAGCAAACAGGAUUAGAUACCCCGGUAGUCCCUGUCUCUUAUAA